GGGCCGCGGCGGGAGGAAGCCUCCGGCGCGCGCGGACAUCACGGCUGGUUGGGCGCGCUCUCGCCGCGGCGGCCGGUAACCCCUCCGCGCCGCCCGCCCCCCGCCCCCCGCCCCCGGCCCCGGAGAGGCCCCGCCCACGCCCCGCCCCGCCCGCGCCCGCUCCCCGGCGGAGGCUGGGCCCGCGCGCGCCCGGAGAGCCUGGCUGGGAGCCCGCGGAAGGAGUGGGUCCGGGCCCCCGACAGCCUUCCGUGCCGGGCCUCCAGCACUUCCUGGGACGGCUUGGGUUACUCCCGCAGGGCGCUGCGCCUCCCCAAACCCAGGCUCUGCCCGCUCUGGCCUGGAGCGGGGCUGAGUGUUGGAGCGCCGGGAGGCCACUGAGGGGGAUGUCAGCCUCGGUUCAUCUCAACGUACACAAAGACCCCAGGAUUUCAGGCAAAAGGAAUAAAGAGCUGCUGUCAGCAGAAUUCAGGAAACUGAGCAGAAUUGGCGGGGUUUACACCUGAAUGAGUCAAAUUCUUGGCUGGACCUCAACUGUGAUUCCGGGCCUGAGCUCAGGGACUGAUGAAAACCCGCUUAACAAGAGAAACGCGUGCGGGUGUGCCCUGCCCUGCCUUACCUUGAGGGUGAGGAGAAAAGCUCCAAGCAUCCUCUUAGACACUAAUCCCGCAGGGCUCCUCCUCCAAAAACGCCUGGCUGGCGUCCUAUGGCGCCCUAACUCCCCAAUUGCAUCGAGGCUAUAAAGACACGCCUACUCGUGCUGCACUGCCUCCCGUGGAGACUGCGAGGCUCCCAGGUGUGAAUCGUAUGAAUCGGGCACCUCACAAUUCACAUCUGCAGGCGCACUCCUGAUUGCACGUGGUAGUUGAAGGUAAGGCCCCGCCCCAGGGGUCGGAAGGAGACUCAUUGGGUUGCUUCCUGGCAUCCUGCUUGGCCUUGAUUUACCCUCAGUUUGGGAAACUCCAGGGAGUGACUGCUGACACAGCAGGGGAAGCGCCCAGUGAUUCACCUGUCAUUACACUGCUCCGGCCACUAUGCACCCUUUAACCAAGGUUUGCCAAAUACCAAGUCAUCAGUUUCCCCUCAAAACCGAUUCUCCCAACCAGUUACACUCAACACGUGGGAAUCGUCUCCCAAUUACUCCCUCCUUUCCCUCAUCUCUGAUAAUUCAAGCCAACCACAUUUCUUGCCAAAUACCAUUUCUUUCCACCAUUCUCAGUGCUCAUACCCUGAUCAGACCUUAAUCCUGGCCUGUGCAGUAGGCUUCUAAGGGCCUCUUUCAUUCACGAGGCUGGAAAGUUAACUUUCCCAAAGCCUGCCUUUGACCAUGAUAGUUUGCUGUGAACACCCUCCCCCAGCCCCCAUCUACAGGGUAAAACACAGUCUUCAGACUGCCGCUCAAGGCCCUUAGCUAUGUGAUUCCACCUGCUCUAUCCUGUGAAACUCACCACUGGAAGCCCAGGGAUCCUCUCCAAAAAUCCAGUAUCAGCCAGACUCCCAUCCCAAUGUGCCUCCAACCUCAGACCUCCCAACGCUUCCACCAAAGCGUUAGCACACAUUCUUAGAGUAUCAGCUACUUUCCUUAUCUUAAUACAAACAUGGAACCACGGGAGCUCUCUCAAGCGUUAGAGGUUUGUCUUUCACACCUUGACUCCUCCGAGUUGGGAAGAAAAGCUGGGCUUCCUUGCUUGCAUUGCUCCUUCCACACCCUUUCUCCUCCUUCCUCCAGCAAACCACCAGCUCCUUUUCCACGGAUGCUAUUGAACAGGGCACCCACCGCUCUUCCGGUUCCGGUCACCCACCCACUUCUAGCCUAUAACUUCUUCCGGGUCGCUCCCCACUCCCCGUUCACUGAAGAUUUUGGUUCCUGUCUCAGUAUUCCUGGCAACCUCUAUCCUGUUUUCAUUCCCGGCAACCAGGUGAAUGACCCAUCUCACCCUAUACUUAACACCUGGCCAGGGUCUCUCAUCAGGCCUGAGAGGUGGUUGUUUCCCACUCUGUUUUCUUCAGCAGCCAGGUGGAUGAUCCAUCUCUCUGUCCCCCAGUGACUCCCUCCCCAAGCGAAACCUCAGAACUCGUCAUCACCUAAAUCUGCACUGUCUCCAAAAUCUGCAUUAGCAAUAUCCCACUCUGCCCAACCCCUCUGGUACUUACAGUUCUCUCACUCAGUGUCCCCUCGUUCUCGAUCCCGCCCCCCUUCUGCUCACAGGCUCCUGAGAAGCCACCCGGCUGCUUUGUUUUCCCCGCCUCCUGAUUAGAUCCCAUAGAUUCUGUCCUAUACUUAACACCUGGCCAGGCUCUCUCGCAGGGACCCUGGCCAAGCCUGAGAGGUGGUUAAGUUUCCCACUCCGUGCAAUACUUCCAGACCUCUACCCCUGCUGCUCCCCUGUCCGCCCUCCUUCAGUUGCCAUUCCUCUCAGCUGUCAAUACUUCUUGCAGAAAAUUGAAGCCAAAAGCAGGAACUCCCUCAUCUUUGCGCCACCAAAUCUACACAGCCCUGCACGGGUCCCCUUCCCUUUUUCCCUCUAGUUACAAGAAGGAAGGAAGUCUCCCCACUCGGACCCAAGGCCAGUCCUCCGCAGCCUAUCCAUGUGGGCUGAGUGUUACCUUACAGGACAAACGAGACUUUGCAGCUGUAAUUAAUAAGGAUCUUGAGGUGGGGAGGUUAUUCUGGAAUACCUAGGUUGGCCCUAAAUGUAAUCACAGGAUAGAGGCAGAGGGAAAUUUGACCAGAGCAGAGACAGAUUUGAAGACAGAGGAGUAGAUGAUGUGACCAGAGCAGAAACAGAUUCGAAGACCCUCCCCUGCUGGCUUUGAAGAUGGAGGGAGCGGCGAUGAACGAAGGAAUCAGCUCUAGAAGCUGGAAAAAGCAAGAAACAGAUUGUCCCCUAGAGCCUCCAGAGCGACCUUUGGCCCUACUGACAAUUUGACUUUAGUCCAGUGACACUGAUUUGGACUUCUGACCUCCAGGCUGUAAGAGGAGAAGCGUGUGUUGUUUUAUGCCCCCAGGUUCAUGGUAGUUUGUUAGAGCAGCCAAAAACCCGGCACCCACCCUCCUCACCUGCUCCAGGCUUUGCUCCCACGCAGUCUUCUCUCACCUGUGUUAAUUACCAACCGCUCCAUCUCUGUUGGAUCAUUCCCACCCACAGAUAAACAUACUUCAGUGUUCCCUAACUUAAAAAUAGAAAACAUCCCUCGCCCUCAUGACCCCCAGCUACUAUCCCAAUUCCUUAGUUUUCCUUCAUAGCAAAAUCUUUCCAGAACUAUACACACAUCGCUGUAAGUUCAUUUUUCAGCCCAUGCCCCCCUGGCUUCCACACCCACCAUACACCAAAGUCACCAAAGAUGUCCACGCUGGCAAAUCCGAGGAAGGCUACGCUCUCUCUUCUUACUGGGCUUCCUGGCAGCUUCAGGACAAUCAGCACUGGCUGCAUCUGGAUCCACACCUGGACCAACACUUCUCUGCUGUACCUCCCACCCCAUGCAUCUCUCCUCAGGCCCCUCAGCUCAGCCCCAAGAUGCUAGCUUCUCAGCCUCCAACCUGCUUGUCCUGUCCUCUCUCUCCACUCACUCCCUAGCUGAUCUCAUUCACAGCCCUGGCGAGACACACACCUGCAAGCUGAUGACCCCAACAUUUCUGUUAUGAGCCGAGCCGGGACCUUCCUCUGAGCGCUCACUGUCUAUUCGAUCUCACCACCAGCCUAUCUUACAGGCUGAGCCCAAACCCCACACGUGGGAUUCCCCGCAAUCCACUUGGCCUUCAGUUUCUCCAUCUCAGAAAACGGUACUUCCCUGCUGUUGGCUCAAACCAGAAACCCAGUUUGCACACUUUGCUCCCCUUUUCCUAUUGCUGGUCUCAGUCCCACUGCAGCCCCCAGAUCACAUCAGUGGGCUUGUCAUUUCCAUUUCUGAAACACAGCUCCAGUCAACGUCCCCCUCCCCACUACCCCAUGUCCCUUAUCUCAUCUACGGGAGUCUCCGGACUGUUGGGUUCCAGAGUCCCUCCAAUCUGUCCACACAGCUUCUACAAAUGAAUCAUAGUACUCUUUCACUUAAUUCCCUUCAGUGGCUUCCUUUUCUCUUAGAAUAAAAUCCCAACUCUUUGCUUCGGUUUUCAAGGGCCUUCAGGAAAGAUGCCAUCUCACCCAGUACCCCGUGCCCUCUGCUGCCUCGGAUUCUAGCUGUUGGAUUAUUCCUAAUCCCCUCCGACACUUCCUGCCUCUGCACUUGCAAGGCCCGAGCUUGGUCCCUCUCUCAUCUUUUCCGGUGACUGGCCUCGUGGUGCACUCCGGUCUCUUGCCCCCAGAUCACCUCCGGGGGGGACACCUCCAGGCCCACCCCGAGCACCCCCCUGGAGCCACUGCCCUCUGCUCACCGCACUCUCUCCACCACCUCCGAGUUUAGUUCCCACGUGGCCCUUUUCACAAUCUGAUGUCAUUUUGUUGCAGAUUUAUGUGCUCACUUGGUUGACUGGCCCUCUUCUCCAUCAGUGAGCUUUACAGCUAUAUCCGUCACGUUCACCACUCUCUCCCUGAAACCCACACGCCUGGCAAGUAGAGCCCAUCUUUCUACCCAUCUCUCUCUCCCAGGCUCCACUAAGACUAAAUAACGUACUCUUUUCCAGACAGACUUCAAGCUGCUCCCUUUGCCUGGGCUGACUCUCCUCUUCUCUGAGCCCAUCACAGGCCUGCCCUUCUUGCACGACCCAGCAUCCCCGGCUGGCUGUGCUCGGUCCUUCCUCUGAAUUCCCAGGCCCCGCUUGGAACAUACAUGCCACGUCAGAGGGCAGCAGCCAGGAGCGCCCCUACUUAGAUUCCCACCUCUGAGCAGCCUGCCUUCUAGCUGAAGAAUGCCUAAGAGUGGGGAAAUUGAAUUUUUAUAACAACGAAGUAAAUACAGUUCUCUCCAGGGAGACUUUUUUCAGGGGUUAGCCCUCACCUCCACUACGCUCUCCUAAUAUCUGUCCUUUCUCUCUGGACCCCCGAACAGAACGGUAACUAUGUGUUUGUGUAGUUUUUUGUGUAGUGUCAGGUUUCCCCUCUAGUCUCUAUGGGGUGAGAUGUGGACACGAUGUCUGGUGAAGACACUUAAUACAUGUUUGAUGAAUGAAUGAACGAAAGCCCCAUUUGUUUUCCCUCAGAUGAUAGCUUCCUUGAGAAAGAAUCCUCACAAUCGUAGCCUGGUCCCAAACAAAUAAGACAACAGGCAGGGGCAUCAGUGUUACCACCAUUAACAAAUAGUGUUGAUACACUGCCCUCUUCCUGUAAAUCUGCAGCCUUCCUAGAGCUCCACUGGGAGGAAUUGCUGCUGACAGCGGAAAACUACAGUUUUUGUCUUCCACCUGCUGAGAGUGAAACGAACCCCCAAUAUGUUGCCACUUUGGGAAGAGGACCCCACAGAACAUUCUCUUAGUAUGGAAACUGAAAUGCCACCAUUUGAACCCCUUUAACAGGUGCAUCCUGAGUUAUUACUGGGCUACAAAUGCUACUUUUAGGCAGGUACUGAAAGCACUGACAUCCUCUUGUUCUAACUGUUGGUCAGAACAUUCUGGAAGGUGCAUCUAAAGAAGAAGAGAAACCGUAGUUUUCUCAAGGAGCUUUUGUGAUGGUUCAAAUGUGAUUGUUGAGGAAGAGAGCGGAGCUGAAGGAUUGCUCUCAACAGAGAAAGUCCAAAGAAAAAGACUGAAGGUCCUGGGCAAAGGCAGGUUCUUAUUCGUUAUCCAUUUUAUACAUAGUAGUGUCUACCUGUCAAUCCUAGUCUCCCAACGCAUCCCACCACCGCCGUCCCUCCCCCCUCCCUUGUAUCCGUUCUCUUCUUGUGGCUUCCAUUUUGUCACCGUAACAGGAGCCAGUAUCGUGAGCUGAGGCUGAAGAUGGGGGAAGAAGUACUGGAGUUUGGAGAGGGAAGAGGAAGUCUGAGGUUCAGAAAAGCAUGGGAGAGUGAUGGACCAGCGCGGUUUGGCAUGACUGCCUGCUGGCCUGGGGACCCACCUGAAGCCAAUGGGACACCCCUGGGCUUCCUCCAGAUUCUGAUUCAGAAGGUCUGAUGUGGGGCCUGAGAAGAGCUUCUGCUUCCCAGCAAGGUCCCAGAUGAUACAAUGCUGCUGUGAGCCACACUUUGAGUAGCAAGGGGCUGCACAUGGACUGUAAGUUUAUGAGCCCUUGAAUCUCUGAAAAUGUUUUUUCCUGUUCUUGACAGGUGAAAGACAGAUUGGCUACAUAAGGAAUUUGGGGUCACAAAGUUUCUCCCUCAAAACUCUAGACAUUGACUGCGUCAUUGAUUUUAGCAUCAUAUUAUUAAAAAAAAAUCCUGAGGCCAGUUUGUAUUUCUUUUUUUCUGUUUCUUUCUUUCUUUCUUUCUUAUCUUUCUUUCUCUUCCUUCCUUCCUUUUUUUUUUUCCUUUUUGUGUAUACCUUCUUUCAUGGCAUUAAUAGGGUUCUUUACUUUUACAUAAAUUUCAGAACUUUCACCGGGGUAUGUUAAGUGUUUGAAUCUCUUCAUUUUGCCUAGUACCCAGUGGGCCAUUUUAAUUGGGAGAUUUCAGUCUUUAGGAAGUUUUAUAUAUGUUCAAAUAUUGUUUUUCUUCCAUCUGUUCUUGGUAUCAUCUUCAGAAAUACAGUUUUCCACAUGUUGGAUCUCCAUGUAUGACCAUGAAAUCCCCCCAACUUUUUCCUCUCUUUUCUUGCAUUAUAUAUACAUAUAUUUUUUCUGGCUUGCCUUCUGUAUCACUGAAAUAAUUUUUGGCAGGGUCGAGUCUGCUCUUUACUGCUUCUAAUGCGUUUUGAAACACUGCUGUUAUCUGCUUAGUUUUAAAUCAUUUCUUCACACCUCAUUUAUUUCCCUUUAAGUGCUGCUUGCAUCUCAGCAUUAUCUUCCACUGUCACAUCAUUUUACAGUUUAUCUAAUUUUAUGCGGAGCAUUUUUUAAUAUUAUUGAGAGUAAAGAGCAGAUGGUAUCUGAAAUUCAUUGGGGUUUUUUGCCACAAAUAUUUUCUAGAAAUGUACACUUUCUCUGAAUCUUCCUGGUAGGAUUUCCUGAUAAAGAAUCUUUUCACAGACACCACAUUGGUUUUAUUCUUGCUUACUGAUUGUUGCUAAUCCAGUGAUCCAGUCUGAGGGUAGCAAAGAGCCACACGCUAUGCUGACGAGGGAGUCUGGUCUCUGUAAUUCCUCCUUUAUCUAUAGAGAAGCCACUUCGCCUGGCCGCAGGCUUAUGGCUGGAACUCCUAUGAAAUUCUGCCUCUUCAGCCCAAUUUUUCUAAACAGCUGUUACUGUGUCAGCAAAGGUUGGCCACCAUCCUGGGAUGCUGCCAGCAGCCUCUUGUUCAAGGAAGUGGUCCUUUCCCCACCGGGGUCUCCAGCCCAAUUUCACCAGGCUGCUUAUCACUACAAUUACAAUCACCUUUGCACUUCGGGCAACUUCCUCUCCAGAGCAGGGAACCACAGCUCUCCACUAAUGACAGCAGCCUAGAUCUCUGAGUCCUGCACUGACACUGUCAGUGGGGAAGCCCCACAGUCCACACACCCACGGCCUUCACAGGGCGCUUUCCAGGUUAGUCUCACAGCCCACCCUCCCCUCCAGAGCUCAGCCCUCCAAGCCCAGUGACUCCUGGGGGCCAGCACUUUACCCACUUACUCCCCAGAAGGCCAUGCCAUACCUUCAGGAGGGGUUUAUUUCUGCCAUUUUGAUGAUUUGAUUCCUUAGCUUUCUGUAUAAAUGGAUGCUUUCCCCAAUUAUAUACUUCUUAGAUUAUUUCUUUAGGAACUGGUGGCGGAUGAGUGUUUAGAAAUAAAUUGUAUCCAAAAGCCAGGCCUCUUUAUCUGCAAGUCCCUGUCGUAGUCCAUUCAGGCUGCUACGACAGAGUACCGGAGCCUGGGUGGCUUAUAAGCAAGAGAAAUUUAUUUCUCCCAGUUCUGGAGGCUGGUAAGUUCAAAACCAAAGUGUCAGUAGAUUUGGUGUCCUGUGAGGAGUGCCUGCUUCCUGGUUCAUAGACAACUGUCUUUUCCAUGUGUUCUCACAUGGCAGAAGGGGGAAGGGAGCUCUCUGGGGUCUCUUUUAUAAGGGCACAAAUCCCAUUCAUGAGGGCUCCACCCUCAUGACCUAAUCAGAACCCAAGGGCCUCACCUGGUAGCAGCAUUGCAUUGGGAGUUAGGCUCUCAACAAAUGAAAUUUGGGGAGAUAUGAAUACUCAGUCUAUAGCAAUCUGGGACUUUUUUUUUUUUUUUUUGCGGUAUGCGGGCCUCUUACUGUUGUGGCCUCUCCCGU